AACGAACGCUGGCGGCGUGCCUAACACAUGCAAGUCGAGCGCGAAUGGAGCAAUCCUAGUAGAGCGGCGCACGGGUGCGUAACACGUGGGUAAUCUGCCUGGAAGAUUGGAAUAACCUGCCGAAAGGCUGGCUAAUACCAGAUAAGCCUACGGGAUCUUCGGAUCCUGAAGGAAAAGGUGGCCUCUGUAUACAAGCUAUCACUUCCAGAUGAGCCCGCGGCCCAUCAGCUAGUUGGCGGGGUAACGGCCCACCAAGGCAACGACGGGUAGCUGGUCUGAGAGGACGAUCAGCCACACUGGAACUGAGACACGGUCCAGACUCCUACGGGAGGCAG
rnacentral:rRNA from 1 species